rnacentral:rRNA from 1 species
GACGAACGCUGGCGGCGUGCUUAACACAUGCAAGUCGAACGGAAAGGCCCCCACCUUGGUGGGGGUGCUCGAGUGGCGAACGGGUGAGUAACACGUGGGUGAUCUGCCCUGUACUUCGGGAUAAGCUUGGGAAACUGGGUCUAAUACCGGAUAGGACCAUGGUUUAGUGUCUCAUGGUGGAAAAAUUAUUGUUUUGGUGCAGGAUGAGCUCGCGGCCUAUCAGCUUGUUGGUGGGGUAAUGGCCUACCAAGGCGUCGACGGGUAGCCGGCCUGAGAGGGUGGACGGCCACAUUGGGACUGAGAUACGGCCCAGACUCCUACGGGAGGCAGCGGUGGGGAAUAUUGCACAAUGGGCGCAAGCCUGAUGCAGCGACGCCGCGUGGGGGAUGACGGCCUUCGGGUUGUAAACUCCUUUCGUUAGGGACGAAGCCACACCUUUUUUGGGUGUGGUGACGGUACCUUUGUUAAGAAGCACCGGCUAACUACGUG